GACGAACGCUGGCGGCGUGCUUAACACAUGCAAGUCGAGCGGAAAGGCCUGCUUUCCCUUGUGGAUUGCGGGUACUCGAGUGGCGAACGGGUGAGUAACACGUGAGUGAUCUGCCCCCAACUUGGGUAUAAGCCUGGGAAACUGGGUCUAAUUCCCGAUAGGACUGCAGGGUGGUGCUUGUGGUGGAAAACGAUUUUCUAGUGGUUGGGGAUGAGCUCGCGGCCUACCAGCUUGUUGGUGGGGUAAUGGCCUACCAAGGCGGCGACGGGUAGCCGGCCUGAGAGGGUGGACGGCCACAUUGGGACUGAGAUACGGCCCAGACUCCUACGGGAGGCAGCAGUGGGGAAUAUUGCACAAUGGGCGGAAGCCUGAUGCAGCGACGCCGCGUGGGGGAUGACGGCCUUCGGGUUGUAAACUCCUUUCGACCGCGAGGAAGCCACCUGGUUGGAAGGGUGGUGACGGUAGUGGUAGAAGAAGCACCGGCUAACUACGUG
rnacentral:rRNA from 1 species